AUUGAACGCUGGCGGCAUGGCUAAAACAUGCAAGUCGAACGCACCAGCAAUGGUGAGUGGCGAAAGGGUCAGUAACGCGAUCGAACGUACCCCGAGGUGGGGGAGUAGGCACGGGAAACGUAGUGCGUAAUACCCCACUGUGAUCUACGGAUCAAAGAAUUUUCGUCCUUGGGAGCGGCGAUCGUCCUAUCAGGUAGUUGGCGGGGUAACGGGCCCACCAAGCCUAAGACGGGUAGCGGGUGUGAGAGCACGGCCCGCGACAUCGGGACUGAGACACUGCCCGGACUCCUACGGGAGGCUGCAGUAACGAAUCUUCCGCAAUGGGCGAAAGCCUGACGGAGCAAUGCCGCGUGCGGGAUGAAGCGCC
rnacentral:rRNA from 1 species